UUUGGGUUGCCGGUACCGGGUGGUUUCCCCGAUAUCCACGACCCAUACCA
rnacentral:pre_miRNA from 1 species